rnacentral:rRNA from 1 species
CCCAGACUCCUACGGGAGGCAGCAGUGGGGGAUAUUGCACAAUGGGGGAAACCCUGAUGCAGCGACGCCGCGUGGGUGAAGAAGCGCCUCGGCGCGUAAAGCCCUGUCAGCAGGGAAGAAAAUGACGGUACCUGAAGAAGAAGCUCCGGCUAACUACGUGCCAGCAGCCGCGGUAAUACGUAGGGAGCGAGCGUUAUCCGGAAUUAUUGGGUGUAAAGGGUGCGUAGACGGGAAAACAAGUUAGUUGUGAAAUCCCUCGGCUUAACUGAGGAACUGCAACUAAAACUAUUUUUCUUGAGUGCAGGAGAGGUAAGUGGAAUUCCUAGUGUAGCGGUGAAAUGCGUAGAUAUUAGGAGGAACACCAGUGGCGAAGGCGACUUACUGGACUGUAACUGACGUUGAGGCACGAAAGUGUGGGGAGCACACAGGAUUAGAUACCCGAGUAU